CCGGACGAGGCUGAGGCGGCUCCCGGAGCCCAGUCGGGCUGCCCGCGCCGGGAUCGAAGCUUCUGUCGUAGCGCCGAAGCUAUGUCUCGUCGUUCUUUACCUGUGCACUUGACCAGCGAGUCAGCUGGAAUUGCGUGACUGUGAUCGGCACUGCUUUCGCAGUAAAGGGGAGCUCAUAAGACGCGGUGAAUGUCGCGGUCUCUUCUCCGGCCGUUCAACGAGGGCCGGCGUGAGGAGGGGCUGCCUGCGCUGUGGAAGCCUCUGAGUCCCGGUCGCGGGACAGCGGAGCGCAGGCGGACUUGGGGCUGCUGCUCAGCUCCUCAGGAAUGCCACGUCCCUUUUGGCACCUGGUACUUUGGAAUUUAUACUCUCCUUGAAGGGAGGAUGGCAAGAAGAUGGAGCCAGGCUCUUCUCAGUGAUGCCCAGCAAUAGGAAAAGAGGCAAAGCACUGGUGCAUAGGAAGUUUCACCUGACCCUGAGGAAGAACUUCACUGUGUGGGUGAGAUGCACUGAACAGAUUGCCCGGAGAGGGUGUGGAAAGUCCCUCAUGGGAGAUAUUCCAGAAUGUACUGGACAUGAUCCUGUGUCAAGUGCUCUGGGAUGACCCUGCUUGAGCUGGGAGGUUGGGCCAGAUGACCUACCUGUGAUCCCUUCCAACCUGGACCAUUCUGUAAUUCUGUACCAGGGAAGGUGAUCUGUUCCCUCGUUUCCAGGGCUUUUGGAAUGCCUGGGCAUGUGCCUUUGCUGGCCAUCACAGCAGAAAGUCUCUCACAAGACUUUGAUCUAGGAUGGCACUUCAUUCCUGCAGACCUGUGACAAGUCAUGGCAGUGUCCCCUGAGUCGAGCUCACAGCAUGCUCAGGGGCUGCCUCCUCUGCAGUGUCCUGUGUUACCUCCUCAGUGGCCCAAGUGCAGGACAUACCUAUGAGUCAGCAGUAAAGCACACACCAAGAGGAUGUGUGGAACCCUUCAAAUCUCAAGCUCAUUGUAUCUGUCUGCAACUGAAGACUCAGGAAGCCUUGGGAAAGAGCGUGCCUCUUGCUUGCUUUCCUGAUUUGAUCUUACCAAGGGGCCAUGGUGGAUCAUGAAAAUCUCCCUGCUCCCAACUGAGCAGUCACAGAGAAGCACUGGAUGUCCAUCUUCCUCCUUUGGCCUUGUCCUCAUUUGGAUACUGACCCUCUCCCCAGCACAGAUCGUCUCUCCUUUGCUUGACAUCCUUGGUAUGCAAAACAUGGCUCCUCUGUCCUGCUAUUGCAGAGUGGGACUGAGAAGUGCAGGUGCUUGGAGCCAUCCUGUUGCUUGCUUCUCAUCUCCUUGCAGUGUUCCCAUGCCCCAGUUUCCCAGGAAUGGAUGUGAAUGCAGCUGUUGGGAGAGUCGGUGCCCAUCUGCCUGGGUCGAAUGCUGCACUGGGAGCAACACUGCUGUUGCCUGUGGGGCAGAGCCAGGAUGUGAGUGAACACUUCAGAAUCAGGCUGGGGUGUGCAAGUUCAAGCACAGAGAGAAGAAAUGCGUGAAGAACAGGAGGCUGAUAGAAAGGGAAUGGGAAGAAAGUGCAGUCCUUCCCUGAAUGCCAGUCAGGAGCUCAUAGCUGGCACUGGGGAACUGCUGUCUGCAGUCCAUGCUCUCCCUUCACAGGGAGCUCUUCUAGCCUGGCCACAGGCUCAAAACUGACUGAUAGCAUGCACAGGAAAGAGCCAAGAGGAGCUUACUCCAUCUGCUGAGAAAGCAGGUCUGCCUUCAGCUGCUCGUGCAGGUGCUUGGAGGACUGUGACUGGUUGUAAGUUUGGGCACCUGUCCUUGCCACAGGCUGGGCUGCGCUCACUCAUGCACUCUGCUUACAGGACCAUGAGGUUUUCUGUCCUCAGCUCCUUGGUGAAAACAAGCUUCGUGAAAUAGCUGGGAGGUGAAAGCACAGAACUUGCCUAUUAGCUAUAUCUUUGAUUUAUUCCAAAACUUUCUUCCUCAGGUUCAGUGGAUGGAGGUGUGGAGGAAGUCUGAAGCAAGGAGGGAAGCAGAAUGCCAGGCAUGGGAGGCCUGGAGCAUGCAGCCAGUCCCAGUCCUGCUGGCUUGGGAAUGCUCUGUAAUGCCUGCAUGCCAGGCAAGAGGGAGUGACUUCAAAGCACAUCUUUAUUAGGGUACACUGCUUAGCAUCAAAGAAAUGUCAGGGCUGCUCUACACUGACUCUCUGCCUGCGGCACUAAACUAGCCUGUCAUUCAGAAGUCUCAGUACAAACCACAACUGCUGACAGAGUCCUGGAAAAAUUUAUUUUUCCACAUCUAAUUGCCCUUUUUGCUUUGUAAACAUAAAGGUUGAAGCUUAAACUCUGACAGCUCCAGUAGCCUUUUGCUUAACUCCUUAAAAAAAAUGACAUUCGGCAUGUUAAAUUUUGCUUUUACCGCUGCCUGAAAUCUCACAAAAUCUGCACAAUGUUUUUUUAAAGAUCAUUGAAGCAUUUCAGCACUCACUUUGGGAAAAACCCUUCAACUAACAAAAAGACAAAAGCUGGUGCCUGAAGAGCCAAGACCUUUCCCCAUAGCAAUUCAGGAUAAAAAUGCUUGACCAAAAGAGGCACAGCGAGCAAACGGCAUUCCACCUUUCCCUUGGAGCAGAUUAAAGAAUGCCUAUCUGCUCUUGUUAUUGUUCCAGAAAGAAAUGAAACAUCAAAGACAGGAGAAAAAGAGAAACAACUGUUAAAAAGCAAAAUUGGAUGUAUCAUAGCAGUCUGAAAACUUCCAGUUCAGUUUCUUCAGUGCCAUGGGUUCUCCGUCCUGGAGGAGGAUCCCCCGAAGUGGGGGGAUGCACUGUUCCCCAGACUCUGCACUGCCUCCUCUGAGAGCAUCGUGCCUGCAGGAGCCUCCUCUGGGUCGGGGCUUUUAGCUGCUCCUGCUGCAGUCCUUCACCAUUCAAGAUGCAUGUCCCGAAUCACUUCAACCACAGAGAAGUGAUUUUGUAGCCACAGCUCUUAAAGAAAUAUCCUCUGUUUUUCUGGGAGGUGCUGCCCAUUCCCUCCAUCUGACAUGAAAACAGGGUCAUUGCAUCACCAUCAUUGUCUCUGCAGAGACCCUCCUGGCCUGGGCUCUGCUUCCAUCUGCCCACGGAGAUGAGGACCAGACUGCCCUGCCCUCAGCCCCCAAACCUGCAUGGCACAGACCCUGUGCUCGUCCCUGCCCCUGCAGCCAGCCUGGCCAGCACCCAGCUACCCCCAGCUGAUGGAUCUGUGUCUGUGAACGAGUGACAGCGUGGUCGGCAUUGUCCUGAGUGUCAGAUUCUUCCUAAGUGCCAGCUCUAAUGGGCUGUGGAUGAUCAGAUGCUCCUGGGAUAACAAGUUUCUGGAAAGAGAUAAAUGCAGCAAAUGUGCAUGAACAGGGGAUAUUGUCAUGGCUUAACCCCAGCCAAAAACUCAGUCCCACACAACUGUUUGCUCACCCUUCUCCCUCAGAGGGAUGGGAAGGAGAAUCAGAAAAAGGGUAUUUUUUUGUAGAUUGAAAUAAGAACAGUUCAAUAAUUAAAAUAAAGUAAAAUAUUGCUACUUCUACCCUGGAGUUCAGUAGAACUGACUUUGGCCUCUUCAGGGAUCUGCUGUCAGUGUCCUUUUCAUAGAAUAUCUUCCAUACUUGCCAACCACUGGCACUCACUCUCUGCCAGGAGACCAUCUCUGUGUAGAAUAUGGUGGUCCUUUUCAACAGAGGCUUUGGCAAACAAUCAGGUUGAGUUUUGAAAUCUCUGGGAAGAGCCAGUCUGUGAUGAGUGUUGGCUUCUUCAUACCUGCCUCCAGGUUUUAUGAUUUUUCCCAAGGAAAAAAUAACAAAAAAGAUAAUUAUUUUAAAACUGUUUCUCUGAGAUCCCAGGUUGUUAAGCUUUAUGCUGCUAGAUAAAUCAAACUAACUAACUGAGUUAAUUUGUCUGACCAUAAAGUGGAUUCAAUAAGUGUAAAACAAAACUAAUUGGUUUGCUUCCAUACAAAUUUAAUCAUACUAUAAAAUGUGAUCAAUGCAAAUAAAAAGCAUUGAGUAGGUUGAUUAUCAAGAAUCUAUAAAGGAAAAAAAUGCACUUUCAGGAACUGAAAACUGUGUGGGUUCCCAUCUCUUUGCUGAUCAUCCCAUGAUGUAGAUCCAGUCCAAAUGUGCUGUGCAGGCAGGGGCUGUGGACAGGACCUUGAGAAGAAGCACUCAGAUUUCAGUGAGCUUUGUCUUGACUGCUGCAGCACUCUCAUAGAGGCCUCUGAGAUGUCAGGAGGGACAGGAGGGCAGGGGUCAGUCCCCUGUCAGUCCCUGAGCCAGGCACAGUCCCUCUCCUGCUCAGGAAGGCGGAGCAGAGAGGAGCACUGCGCACUCACAGUGGUGCCCUGACCAGAGGUGACAGUCGUGUUGCUUUGUCUGCUACUGCCCCACCAUCAGCUCCUGCCCCUGAGCUUCUGGGAGAAGCACAGCUGGGAGCCUCUUGCUGUGUCAGGCACCCUGGACAGCUUGCUUCCCCUCACUCCUUUCUCCCAUCUCCCCACAUUUCAAGGUUAAGUUCUAGUGUCUCAUAAAACAUGCUCAUGCCAUAAUUUCAGCCUGCAGAAAGUCCUUUCCAUGCAAGGGCUAGGAUCCAUAUGAAUUGCCCUGUUCUAUAGCUCCAACUACAAUAAUGAAACUUCAGGUGCUGACAGUUUUUUUGAAAAAUACCUAAUAUAGCUUAAAUAAUUAUUUAAUGCAGACAAAUAGAAAAGAGAGCAUCCAUGUGCUGUGUUGCAAUAAAUAAUACUUGUAACUUGCUGGGCAGUAGCAGCAGCAGCAUGAACAAAGGGCUCUAACAUGGCUAGAGAAGGAGGGUCCAGCUGAGGAGUCACCACAGGAAGGCCCUGCUGGGUGCUUGCGGAAAAGAGGGACAGGAUAAAGAGGGAUGAGAACCCUCCACAAGCCAAAUUAAUACAGGACUGUUGAACCUGGGGGAGUAGAAGGAGCUCUUUGUUCUGCUGCUGGUGGUGCCAGCAGCUGGCAGGGUCUGCGGGCAGAGGGGCAGCGUUGCCCAGCCCAGGUGGUGGGAAGUAGGAGAGGAGUGGGGGGCCCCACACAGGCUACCUGGGCAGCACCUCUGCUCUCUCCAGCUGCAGUCACGUCCCAGAGGUUCUGCACCACCUGCCCAUGCUGUCUGUGCCCCUGGAGCAGGGUGCAGAGUUUUCUGUGCUGGCAGAGCCUGGACUCACGUGCAGCCUUGGCCUGCUGCCCUUGUUGGGCAGUUGCUGCAGCCUGGAAGGAAAGCAUAAAAGAGUACAGGGAGGCAAAUGGCUCCUUGUGAGUGGAAUAAACUCCCAGCAAGUGUGCUGCUCUGCCAGGAGCAAAGCCCGUUCGCUUUUGGAGCUGUUCCUCCACCACUUUCCCAGGCUGAUGUGAGUUUUGUGAGUAUAGCUCUCAGUCUUUCUUUGAGCUCCACAGUCAAUGACUGCUUAUGGGUUUUUGCUUUGCUUUAUAAGCUCAGUGGUAUUUGGGAAAGCAUCCGGAUCCCCUCCAUGAGCUCUGACAGAUUACAAGGGCUGCACUUAACUGAGUUCACAGUGUUCCACUGUGUCAGCCACACAGCAGCAGGGCUGCGGAGAUGUGCCUUGGCAUAGCAGAAGAUAAAAAACUACAGCAGAGUGGAAGAUAAGUGGCAAUAAAAAGUAAAAUGUGGAAUGUCUGCCCUUUAAAAUAUAUUAGGCAGUUUAUAAAUAAGCUUUGUGUUUUUAGGCUGAAUGCAGAAUUGUUCAGUCCCUGAAGAAUCUGACCUUGAAGAGAAGAAAUGCUGUGAGCAGCUUUCAAAAUGUUCUCAGGAUGAUCAGACAGGACAAUUGCUCUUGCUUAUUAUUUCAGCAGUAGGUGGUGUGUUUGGCUGGUGCGGCUUGGGAAGAAACUUGAGCUCCUCUUUCUCCCAGGUAAUCUCAGUGUGAUGUCAGAGGCAGAGAAGAACUUGAGGGUAAAGUUACCAAGUGUUUGGUGAGAUUUCCAGGGAUGCGUCACUCCUGGCACACAAGUCACCACUCUUGGCUGGGUGACUUGUGUGCUGGUUCUGACAGCCAAGCUCUGAGGGUGUGAAGCUGAACCAGACAGAAGUGCUCAGCCUGGUUCUCGCCACCUCGCUUGGCUGCCUUGUGCUGCAAAGCUCCUGCCUGGUGAGCUGAGCUGUGCGGGUCUGCCAUGCCAGCAAAGCUCCUGCCUGCACCCUCCUCCUGAAGGGAGGAAAGAGCAUCUUUCAGGACGUGGGUGCCUGAGCUGUGCUGUUCCUGUUCUCCAAGGGUGGUGGGACACGUGUCUCCCAAGUGUCACAGUAGUGAGGCAGCCUCUUUGGGGUGGGGAGGACUUUCUGCUAAUACUGGAGAUGUUCCCAUUUGUGUUAGGUACUUAGCUUUCUUGUGGGGUGAAGUAGCAAGCCUAUGAACAGAAGACUCUGUGGGGAGUGUGGAGAGGGGAGAGGUGGGCUUUGGCCUUUGUUCUGGUAAAUGGUGAGGAGUCAGAUGCUUCCUCUGGACAGCUAGAGGUUCUGGCCCAAACUGGAAGAGGCUGCUGCUGAUUUGGGAUUCUUCUGCUUUCAGGCAGCCUGCAGUGAGGACCAGGUCUUGUCUUCUGCUGCAAUAUCUCACUCUUGAAUGAAUGCCGUCCUACCAGCCUCUGUUUGGGCAAUAUGGAAAACAGCGGCCCUGCAGAUUCUUUUAGGGCUCUUCAGCGCUGCUAGUGUGGGGGCGAGUGCCAGCCUCCCCGUGGGGCAGAGAGAUGUGAUGGCUGCUCCAAGAGCUCCUGCUGUGCAUCUGACUCCCUGAAGCUGGUCCCCUGGGAUGGUGUUUGAACUGCUUUUCUGCCUGCACAGUCCAUGGGCUGUGGUAUCCUCCACAAACCUUGGGGAGCCCAGUGGCUCCCCCCACUUAGUCCGGGCUGGGAUGCAGAGCCCCCACAGGUGCAGAUGCUGCUAUGUGAGGGGAGGGAUUCCCCCACACUCUCUGGCAUUCCUCGGUCUGGUUUCUGUUAAUUCGACGUUUUGGUGCAGAAGAUGGCCAGUAUUAAAACCCAGACUGCUCCUAGUGGGUGUGAAGUGCAGAGAAAUCAGCAUGCUGCUCCUGCCUGUGCUGCGCCCAGGCGGUAAUCGAGAUCACCACCCCGCGAUAAAUCUCUUCCUGCCAUCGGACAGAAGAGAGAAGCAGUUACUGUGGGCUUUGCCUCCAGGUUUAUUAUCAUGGGGAAACACAUGCAAAUGAAUGGCUCACCCGAUACAAAUCAGUCGUGCUGGAGCAUUUGCCGACUGCGAUGCAGACACACGAUAUCUGUGAUCUGCAGGCAAGGAGCGAGCUCAGUCGUGCCUUUGCAGUCGUGUGCAGAGGCUCUCACUGAGUGCAGCCGCCUCUGAACUGGCCUCUGUGCCCAGGCCAUGCUCUUUUCCUCCUGGAUUUUUCAGUCUAAUAGCACUGUUGAUCUGGCCUUUUUGUUUGCUCAAUGUCAGCAUUCCUCGGGGAAUGUUGCAGAGCACUAGCAGCUACACAGCCUGAAGGUGGGCUCCCAUAUUAUUUCUUCAUUAACAUUUGUUGUUCAUAAAUAUAUAUUCACUCCUAUUUAUCACAAGAACACCGAUUAUAAACCAUAAAUUCUAACUGUGGGGAAUAUUUCAGUCCAGUUUUAUUAAAAAGUGAUUUUUUAAAAUGUUGCCGAGGCUUUUAGCCAGUUAUGUGCUACUAAAUAUUUAAAUCUGUAUCUCUUGCGGCAUGCUGAAUUACAGCAAGGGGAUAUUUAAUGUUCCCAUUUCUCCAGCAUAAAUCUGUGAAAGAUUGACUGUAAGAAAAAUACAGUCAGGAACAGCCCACGUACUUGCUGAGUGCUCUCUUGUGGCAAGCGCCCACUGGCACGUCCCUGCCGCUGGCAGCA